AGGGGUGUCGCCAAGCGGUAAGGCACAGGGUUUUGAUCUCUGCAUACCUAGGUUCGAAUCCUAGCACCCCUGCCA
rnacentral:tRNA from 1 species